rnacentral:lncRNA from 1 species
ACAUCACUCUAAAGGAAAUGAGGGACACAAGAGAAGCCCAGCACGUGUGCUGCAAGGACAGUGGGCACAGGAAAUGUGUGCAGACAGCCACAGGUCUCGGGCUUACAACAAAAGAAAGCAGAAGUGUUUCUUUGUUUCUGCUAUACAGCUUCAUCACUCCAGUGCUAAAGAUGCUUACAGACAGGGCAGGACAGGGUGACCAGGCCAAGGACUUACUUCAAACCUCUCCUGCUCCAUCCUGUGGUGAUCCUCAAGCUGCUGCUCCAGGAUUAAUCCAUCCCUCUGGGCUUGAGAGACAGAAUCAGCAACACCUGUCUGCAUCCGAACCCUGUGGGUGGAUUUCCCACCCAAGAAGUUUCAGAUUUCCACCAUAGACGCUUUCUCCUGAAUAGCGAUGUUGGUGAUGACGUGAGCCUACCCAGACCUCAUCUUGUGACAAAAGCCCAGCAUAACACCCUUGAUCGUGUUCUGAGCAUGACUGCACAUGCUUCUGACAGCGGCCA